rnacentral:rRNA from 1 species
GCCACAGACAUAUCACCCUGCAGCCCAAGACUAGUUACCUACUGAAGCUAAGCAGGGUUGAGCCUGGUCAGUACCUGGAUGGGAGACCUCCUGGGAAAACUAGUUUGCUGCUGGAA